rnacentral:rRNA from 1 species
AGAAAGCGUAAUAGCUCACUGGUCAAGCGAACCUGCGCCGAAAAUAUAACGGGGCUCAAGAUCGACACCGAAGACGCGGGCUUCUUAGGAAGCGGUAGAGGAGUACUCUGACGCAGAUACACGCUGGACGGAAACGACCGGUACCGGGCGUCAGAGGAGCUUAUGCAGGCAUGAGUAGCGAUAAACCGAGUGAGAAACUCGGUCGCCGUAAGUCCAAGGUUUCCUGGGGUAGGAUAAUCCUCCCAAGGGUGAGCCGGUCCCUAAGUCGAGGCCGCGAGGCGUAGAUGAUGGAAAGCAGGUUAAUAUUCCUGCGCCAGACAGGGUGGCAUUGAAGUGAGCGGGGACGGAGUAGGAUAGCUGAGCACCGUGAAUGGAUCGGUGUUUAAGCCUGUAGGUGUUUCCCGUAGGAGUCGAUAGACACAAACGCGGGGAAGAGUAGCCGAGAGGUGAUGAGGCGGUUCUUCGGAGCCGAAACUCAGUGAUUCCAGACUUCCAAGAAAAGCCGCGCACAGAGCCUCUUGUUUGACCGUACUGCAAACCGACUCAGGUGGACGGGAAGAAUAUUCCAAGGCGCGUGAGAGAACCCUGGUUAAGGAACUCGGCAAAUUGACACCGUAACUUCGGGAGAAGGUGUGCCUUUGCGCGUGAAGGAGAACAUCCGGAGCGUGCGGAGGUCGCAGAGAAUCGGGGGUUGUGACUGUUUACUAAAAACCUAGCACUCUGCGAAGUCGCAAGACGACGUAUAGGGUGUGAUGCCUGCCCGGUGCUGGAAGGUUAAGGGGAAUUGUCAGCGCAAGCGAAGCAAUGAACCGAAGCCCCAGUAAACGGCGGCCGUAACUAUAACGGUCCUAAGGUAGCGAAAUUCCUUGUCGGGUAAGUUCCGACCUGCACGAAUGGCAUAACAACAUCCCCGCUGUCUCGACCAGGGACUCAGCGAAAUUGUAUUGGGGGUGAAGAUACCCUCUACCCGUGGCAAGACGGAAAGACCCCAUGAACCUUUACUGCAACUUGGCAGUGAAUUUCGGGGCAAUCUGCGUAGGAUAGGUGGGAGACUUUGAUGUCGGGCUUCCGGGUUCGGCGGAGUCACCGUUGAAAUACCACCCUGAUUGCUCUGGGAUUCUAACCUGCGUCCGUCAUCCGGACGAGGGACACUGCCUGGUGGGCAGUUUGACUGGGGCGGUCGCCUCCAAAAACGUAACGGAGGCGUGCGAAGGUUCCCUCAGGUUGAUUGGAAACCAACCGUAGAGUGCAAACGCACAAGGGAGCUUAACUGUGAGACCGACAGGUCGAACAGGUGCGAAAGCAGGCGUUAGUGAUCCGGUGGUCCCGCAUGGAAGGGCCAUCGCUCAUCGGAUAAAAGGUACUCUGGGGAUAACAGGCUGAUCGCGCCUGAGAGUUCACAUCGGCGGCGCGGUUUGGCACCUCGAUGUCGGCCCAUCGCAUCCUGGGGCUGGAGCAGGUCCCAAGGGUUCGGCUGUUCGCCGAUUAAAGCGGUACGCGAGCUGGGUUUAAAACGUCGUGAGACAGUUUGGUCCCUAUCUGCCAUGGGCGAAGGAUACUUGAGAGGAGCUGACCUUAGUACGAGAGGACCAGGUUGGACGCACCCCUGGUGAGCCAGUUGUCGCGCCCGCGGCAUAGCUGGGUAGCCAUGUGCGGAACGGAUAACCGCUGAAAGCAUCUAAGCGGGAAGCCGGCCUCAAGACCAAGUAUCCCAGGCGCAAGCCUCUAAAGACCCGUUGU